GGAUAGCUCAGUUGGUUAGAGCGUGGUGCUGAUAACACUAAGGUUACAGGUUCAAUCCCCAUAAGAUACA